rnacentral:piRNA from 1 species
UAACACUGGUGCGGGCCACUUCUCCUGAGUU